AUGAGUUACGGAAUUACUUAUUCAGGGCAUCCUGCUGUGCUAGAAGGAUAUAGUGAUUCAAAUUGGAUCUCCGAUGUUGAUGUACUUUACGCAACAAGUGGGUAUGUAUUUACUCAUGGUGGUGGCGCAGUGUCAUGGAGGUCUUGCAAGCAAACCAUAUUGACGAGGUCAACUAUGGAAGCAGAAUUAAAUGCUUUGGACACAGCUACUGUUGAGGCAGAAUGGCAGCGUGAGCUCUUGAUGGACUUGCCGGUUGUUCAAAAACCUGUACCGGCUAUUCUUAUGAAUUGUGAUAACCAAACGGUUAUCGCUAAAGUGAACAAUUCUAAAGAUAAUGCAAAGUCAUCAAGACACGUGAAAAGACGUUUGAAGUCUGUCAGGAAGUUGAGAAACUCCGGAGUAAUAACUGUUACGUAUAUACAAACAGACAAAAACCUGGCAGAUCCCUUUACAAAGGGACUAUCACGAAAUGUGAUAGAUGUUGCAUCGAGGGAGAUGGGUGUGAGACCCAUA
rnacentral:rRNA from 1 species